UAGAUGUCAUGUCAUUGAGUCCUUAUUUAUCCUCAAAUAUCUCAACCAUGCUCUCUCUCUUGCUUUCUAUUUCUUGGCAAAAUUUCAUGUCCAAAUUCAUCCAUCACAGUUGCUCACGGUAUGGGCUUGUGAAAUCAAGGUUUGCUCAAAUUUUAACCUUAAAUACCUGUUUUCGUAACCAAUUUAAUAUGAUACCGUUGGGCUCUCUGAGACUUUUACAAAUUGAAAAAACAAGGCAAAGUAAGCAAGUAUCUUUUAUUUUGAUUUCAAAUCCACACCUUUCACUUUCUGUUUUGGGUACUUUUGUUGUUGGACUACUGGUAUAUUUGUUGUUGUGCAUCUUAUCAUUAUUGAUUUCAUGUUCUCUUAUCAUAUGCCAUUAUGAUCUUGUUUGAUAUGGUAAAGGAGCAUGAGUUAAUAAUUUUAAAUUUGGUUUACUAUUUUAUGUAAUUGCUCCAUUUUGAGUGAGAUAAGUCUUGGAGAUUUGGUUGUUUUUUGAAGGGUUGUUCUAAGUGGUUUAAUUUGUUCAAUUGGUCAACAAUUCUAGUGGACUUUAGUUAAUGGUGUGUGUUUGAAUGUGGUAAUAAAAGAUGUAUCAUAGAAGUGAUUGAACUACAUAGUGUUUUGGGGAUCUGAAAAUUCAAAUUUAUAAGGUGAUGCUACCAACUUAAUCUCUUUAGCAAAUUUUCCAUACUUCUCCUAUGAAUAGGCAUAGAACACAGCUGGAAUGCAUAUGUCUGGGUCAGUUAUCCACUCUUAAGUAAAAUUAUUAUCCAUUUUCCAUGAACUGGGAUCUUGUAUGGUUCUCUUGGCAGUUUUUGGUGGUAAUUUGUUGUUUUAGGUCUCAAGUUGGGAUCUUGUUGUUGGCCAAUGACCUCUAAUUCAAAUGGUAUCUCCUCCCCUCAUAAAAUGCAAUGGGUGAGUGAGUUUAUAGUUUCAAGAGCACAGAUUAAAUAACCAAUAAAAUAAAAAGAGAGCGAAUGAGGUUGCAAGCUUGCAACUGUAUUUCAUUUUGGGUAUUGAUGUGAACUUGUUACUUGGCCAUUGCUUUGCCAACUUUACAAAAUAUUAUUCAAGUUACAUGCCAUCUUUUAAAGCAUAGCUUUCUAAAUUAUCUCUUGUAAUUGCUAAGGUCUUAUACUGCAUAUUUUGGUAUCUUCUUGAAUUGUGAAAUCAAAUGUACUCAUUUCACUAAAUCAUGAAAUAAUAAUUUCAAUUACAUAUCAUUUGGGAUCAAGUGUUAACAAUUGUUAAACAUGCAAGAUUCUCUAUCAAGUAUUUUCUCUUUAACAAGCAUGCUUGUGUAAAUCCAUACACAACGGUUGGUGAUUAUGACCUUUCAACCACAGCAGAAGCAUUGAAAGUUCUUGACUCUCAUGGAUCAGACAUAUUUGAGCUGCUACAUGUUCCUUGGCAAGAGGGACAAAUUACAAUGCAAUUAUAUAUAUGAUGAAGGUAGGGCCAUUAUACAAUGCCAUGCCAUUUUUUGCCAUCAUUAGAUCAAGAUACAAAAAAGACUCUAUUAUUUUAUUGUACUAUUUCUUCAUCUAAUUUAUGUUAGGCAAAACAUCCACUAUCAAGUCUUUGUGAGAUGUUCAUAAAGAAUAGUAAUUUGACUCACGUCAUACCACCUUUGUUAUUAGUGAAAACUCAAUUGCAAAAGUGGAUUGAAAAAACUUUUGAUGAGUUAAUUAUUGAUUCUUUUGAAUGCUAGGUAAACUCUUCUUUGAGAAAUUGAAGAGAUUUGUCUACUUAAUCUAUUCUCGGUAUCUAAUAUAUAUCACUUAUGAUAA